CCUACGGGAGGCAGCAGUGAGGAAUAUUGGUCAAUGGACGAGAGUCUGAACCAGCCAAGUAGCGUGAAGGAUGACUGCCCUAUGGGUUGUAAACUUCUUUUAUAUGGGAAUAAAACAGGGUAUGCAUACCAUCUUGUAUGUACCAUAUGAAUAAGGAUCGGCUAACUCCGUGCCAGCAGCCGCGGUAAUACGGAGGAUCCGAGCGUUAUCCGGAUUUAUUGGGUUUAAAGGGGGCGUAGGUGGAUUGUUAAGUCAGUUGUUAAAGUUUGCGGCUCAACCGUAAAAUUGCAGUUGAAACUGGCAGUCUUGAGUACAGUAGAGGUGGGCGGAAUUCGUGGUGUAGCGGUGAAAUGCUUAGAUAUCACGAAGAACUCCGAUUGCGAAGGCAGCUCACUGGACUGCAACUGACACUGAUGCUCGAAAGUGUGGGUAUCAAACAGGAUUAGAUACCCGGGUAGUC
rnacentral:rRNA from 1 species